rnacentral:rRNA from 1 species
UGCAUAUCACAAAAGCGGAGGAAAAGAAACCAACAAGGAUUACCUCAGUAACGGCGAGUGAAGCGGUAACAGCUCAAAUUUGAAAUCUGGCCUCUCUGGGGCCCGAGUUGUAAUUUGUAGAAGAUGCUUUGGGUGUGGCUCUGGUCUAAGUUCCUUGGAACAGGACGUCAUAGAGGGUGAGAAUCCCGUAUGUGGCCAGUGGCCUUCGCCCUUGUAAAGCUCUUUCGACGAGUCGAGUUGUUUGGGAAUGCAGCUCUAAAUGGGUGGUAAAUUUCAUCUAAAGCUAAAUAUUGGCCGGAGACCGAUAGCGCACAAGUAGAGUGAUCGAAAGAUGAAAAGCACUUUGGAAAGAGAGUUAAACAGUACGUGAAAUUGUUGAAAGGGAAGCGCUUGCAACCAGACUCGCAUGCUAUUGAUCAUCCGGGGUUCUCCCCGGUGCACUCGGUAGUCUACGGGCCAGCAUCGGUUUGGGUGGUAGGAUAAAAGCCAUGGGAACGUAGCUCCUCUCGGGGAGUGUUAUAGCCCUUGGUGCAAUGCUGCCUACCUGGACCGAGGACCGCGCUUCGGCUAGGAUGCUGGCGUAAUGGUUGUAAGCGACCCGUCUUGAACCCCCGGACCA